UACGAAGGGGGCUAGCGUUGUUCGGAAUUACUGGGCGUAAAGGGCGCGUAGGCGGUCAGCACAAGUCAGUUGUGAAAUCUCCGGGCUUAACUCGGAAAGGUCAACUGAUACUGUGCGACUAGAGUGCAGAAGGGGCAACUGGAAUUCUCGGUGUAGCGGUGAAAUGCGUAGAUAUCGAGAGGAACACCUGCGGCGAAGGCGGGUUGCUGGGCUGACACUGACGCUGAUGCGCGAAAGCCAGGUGAGCGAACGGG
rnacentral:rRNA from 1 species